CGGCCAUCGCCCCUUCCUGCUCCUCCCCCUCCCCGCCCCCUCCCCGCCCCAUCCCUCCCCACACAGCCCAGGCCUCAGGCCCCGCCCCCGCGGCCCGAGAGCGCCAGGCCUGGCCGGGAAUCCGGGCUGGAGCCGCGGGGAGCUGCCUCUUCCGUGAGCCUCUAGCCUCCCGCGGCGAGGAGAUCUGCAGGGCAGGAGUGCACGGCCCGCAGGCGUAAGCAAUAUCUCUGUUUCUUGCCAAUCACAAGGGAGAAAAGCAAGGAGUCCCAAGAGUUUCUGGAAGCCACCUUGUGACACUUCAGAGGAGGUAGAGCCAAGAGACUAGAAGGACAUUGGUCCUCGGUAACAGCUGCUGGAUCGAGCCUUGCCUGAAGCUAUUCCUAGUUCUAGACUCUGCCUAUGUAAGCCCAUAAAUUCUGUCACUCACAACCAAAAAUAUCCUUUAUAAUGAUAACAAUAAUUACUUAAUAUUUCUUAAUUAUACAAUAAUUACCUAAAUACAGCUUAGGGGAUAAAAUCUUACAAAAUGUGAGGUCUGUGGGGUGGUUUGGAAAUAAUAAAAUAGACUCUUAGUGGUGAAAAGGUCAGCAAACUGCUGAUCUAAUUCAAGCUUUGCCAUUUGGCACACGGUAAAACGAAGGCCCGGGGAGGUCAUGAGAUUUGCUUGAGGUUUUAUAGCUGCUCGGAGCCUCCUGACAAAUUCUUGAUGUUUAAUGAUAAUAAUAGGAAUGCUUGAAUUUCUAUGCAUUCCCUGUGAAAUCACAGCUUUGUGUUUUUCUGUCUUCUUUUGUGUGUUUUUCCAAGAGACAGAGAAAGAAUGGCAAUAAUCCUCUUCAUUUUGCAAACAGCGAGGCAGAAGCCCAGAAAGGCUUACAGGUUUGCCAAGAUCACACCGAAAGGCAGUGGUAGAGCUGGUCCCGGAGGCCAAAUGUCCUGAACGUCAUUUCAGGUUCAGCUGCCUCCACCUCUCCUCUUGCGCUAGCCACCUCUGCCUCCUUUCGGGUAGGAAUAAAAUGAAGGGUAUGGUGGGGUCCCUUCUUCUGGCCUUGCUUCUCAGCUGCUAAGUGAUCAAAGAGGACUUUGAGUUGUACAGGCCAAGGAGAUGAUUGUAGGCCCUGGCAGAUGGUCCUCCCGCCACCAACCUUAGGAAAACCAAGGCUGUAAGGCUCAGAGAAAACUCAGGAUAUUUCUGUUGCCAGUGCCCCCACAAGGGAGGUCAACCUGGAGAGAUGGGAGGCUAUAUGCAUGAGAUUCUGGCCUCCCAAUCUAUGUGACCCCACCUCUGACACCUACCCUCUCCUCCCCAGAAGCCUUCCACGACCCCCAACAUUUUCAGUAGGCACGGGAUUGAUAUGCCCGGUUGCACAGGCAGUGCACUGCACAAUUUGGAUUAUGAUCUCAAUGGCGCCCCCUGGAGUUGUAGAGUUCGCAGCUUGCACAAACAUACAGGAUGAGCCCAGGUUGUAUUUCUCAACACGUUUGAACACUCCAAUUGUUUUCACAGAGAUCAAUGACCU